GAAUGCUGACAUAAGUAACGAUAAAGCGGGUGAAAAGCCCGCUCGCCGGAAGACCAAGGGUUCCUGUCCAACGUUAAUCGGGGCAGGGUGAGUCGACCCCUAAGGCGAGGCCGAAAGGCGUAGUCGAUGGGAAACAGGUUAAUAUUCCUGUACUUGGUGUUACUGCGAAGGGGGGACGGAGAAGGCUAUGUUGGCCGGGCGACGGUUGUCCCGGUUUAAGCGUGUAGGCUGAUUUUCCAGGCAAAUCCGGAAAAUCAAGGCUGAGGCGUGAUGACGAGGCACUACGGUGCUGAAGCAACAAAUGCCCUGCUUCCAGGAAAAGCCUCUAAGCAUCAGGUAACAUCAAAUCGUACCCCAAACCGACACAGGUGGUCAGGUAGAGAAUACCAAGGCGCUUGAGAGAACUCGGGUGAAGGAACUAGGCAAAAUGGUGCCGUAACUUCGGGAGAAGGCACGCUGAUAUGUAGGUGAAGCGACUUGCUCGUGGAGCUGAAAUCAGUCGAAGAUACCAGCUGGCUGCAACUGUUUAUUAAAAACACAGCACUGUGCAAACACGAAAGUGGACGUAUACGGUGUGACGCCUGCCCGGUGCCGGAAGGUUAAUUGAUGGGGUUAGCGGUAACGCGAAGCUCUUGAUCGAAGCCCCGGUAAACGGCGGCCGUAACUAUAACGGUCCUAAGGUAGCGAAAUUCCUUGUCGGGUAAGUUCCGACCUGCACGAAUGGCGUAAUGAUGGCCAGGCUGUCUCCACCCGAGACUCAGUGAAAUUGAACUCGCUGUGAAGAUGCAGUGUACCCGCGGCAAGACGGAAAGACCCCGUGAACCUUUACUAUAGCUUGACACUGAACAUUGAGCCUUGAUGUGUAGGAUAGGUGGGAGGCUUUGAAGUGUGGACGCCAGUCUGCAUGGAGCCGACCUUGAAAUACCACCCUUUAAUGUUUGAUGUUCUAACGUUGGCCCGUUAUCCGGGUUGCGGACAGUGUCUGGUGGGUAGUUUGACUGGGGCGGUCUCCUCCUAAAGAGUAACGGAGGAGCACGAAGGUUGGCUAAUCCUGGUCGGACAUCAGGAGGUUAGUGCAAUGGCAUAAGCCAGCUUGACUGCGAGCGUGACGGCGCGAGCAGGUGCGAAAGCAGGUCAUAGUGAUCCGGUGGUUCUGAAUGGAAGGGCCAUCGCUCAACGGAUAAAAGGUACUCCGGGGAUAACAGGCUGAUACCGCCCAAGAGUUCAUAUCGACGGCGGUGUUUGGCACCUCGAUGUCGGCUCAUCACAUCCUGGGGCUGAAGUAGGUCCCAAGGGUAUGGCUGUUCGCCAUUUAAAGUGGUACGCGAGCUGGGUUUAGAACGUCGUGAGACAGUUCGGUCCCUAUCUGCCGUGGGCGCUGGAGAACUGAGGGGGGCUGCUCCUAGUACGAGAGGACCGGAGUGGACGCAUCACUGGUGUUCGGGUUGUCAUGCCAAUGGCACUGCCCGGUAGCUAAAUGCGGAAGAGAUAAGUGCUGAAAGCAUCUAAGCACGAAACUUGCCCCGAGA
rnacentral:rRNA from 1 species